AUGGCCUCCGACUCCGAUCGCCUUCGUGCCCUUAAGGCCUUCGACAACACCAAGGCCGGCGUCAAGGGCCUCGUCGACACGGGCGUCACCACCAUCACCUCCAUCUUCCACCACCCCCUCCCCCUCCACCAUUUGCAUGCAGAUCAUGAGCACCACUUUACCAUCCCGGUCAUCAGUCUCGCGGCUGCCAUGGGUGCUACUACUACUACUACACCAUCCGAGCGAGCUGAGCUGGUCACCGCGGUGAAGGUGGCUGCGGAGAUGGUGGGCUUCUUCCAGGUGGUGAACCAUGGCGUGCCCAAGGCGGCCAUGUCAGAGAUGCUUGCAGCGUUGCGGGGCUUUCACGAGGAGCCGGUGAAGGCCAAGGCGCCCUACUACAGCCGGGACUCUCGCCGGCGCGUGAGGUACCAGAGCAACUUCGACCUGUUCCGGUCGCCAGCGGCCAACUGGCACGACACCCUUUUCAUGGAGACAGCGCCGGAGUCGACACCGUCCGAGGAGAUACCGCCCGCGUGCAGGACCAUAGCGCCCAAGUACAUGAGGUUGGUGCAGCAGCUGGGCCGCACCCUGCUCGAGCUGUUGUCGAAGGCACUGGGCCUCCGCCGUGAGCACCUGGAGGAGGACGCUGCGUGCCUGGAGGGGCUCGCUAGCCACUACUACCCAUCCUGCCCAGAGCCGCACCUGACGUUGGGCACUACCGCCCACUCCGACCCCUGCUUCCUGACCGUGGUCCUCCAGGACGCUGUGGGCGGCUUCCAGGUGCUCGUCGACGGACUACAGGAAGAUGACAAGAAGAUGUCGGAUGUCGUCUGGGUGGACGUGCCGGCAGUGGCAGGCGUGCUGGUGGUGAACGUCGGGGACUUCCUGCAGCUCGUCUCCAACAGCAAGUUCAGGAGCGUGGAGCACCGCAUGGUGGCCAAGAGUGUCAGGCCUCGCGUCUUCGUGGCCUGCUUCUUCCGGCGGCAGGGUGCGGCCACGUCCACAAGAGUGCUACAGCCAAUUGUCACCAACGGCGAGGCGCGGUACAGGAGCACCACCAUGGCGGAACUGGUCCGGCGCUACAGGGCCAAGGGCCUUGACAGCAACUCUCUGCUCCAGCACCUGAGGCUCUGA
rnacentral:rRNA from 1 species